rnacentral:lncRNA from 1 species
GAUGCCCCCCUCCCUAUCCAUACAUAUUCCUUGUACAUCCCUGCUCAGCCCAUCUGUUCGUUGCCUCUGCAGCUGGACCCAGAACUGACGGACUGCACAGCAAGAGCUGCAAAUCAAAGUGAAGAGGAUGAAAAGGGACUUCAUGAGCAAGUACUUGAUGCGCGUGGUGACGAGAUCCCAGAUGUGAAGAAACAGCAAGUGGCUGAGGAGAAGCAGGAACUGGAAAGGAAAUUCUCCUGUUUGAGUGAGGAGGUACACCAUGGGCUGGGGCAUGGGCUGGUCAAUGGGCUGAAAAAAAAAGAACUUGAGGACACCAAGAGAGAAAUGGCUCCUGCUGCUGCACUUCCAGGCACUGCAGGGAUCAUCCAGCCACCACCAGCACCUCUGCAGCCUCCACCAGGAGUGGCUGUUCUCCCCCUCCUUCAGCUGGCCUUGGAUUCAGGGCAGACUCCGCACCUCGGGUGCGUCCAUGGGGAUUGUCCCCACAGCGGGUUCGUGAGUCAGCAGUACGGCUGCAGAGACCGAAUUGGACCAAGGUAAGACCUGCCUGUAAAGGCUGCCUUACACCUUUCACUCAAGCAAACUCCUCCUUCCUUGUGUCUCACAUCACCCUUUUUGAGGCUUUUCAUGGCACUGCUUCCUACAGUCUAUAGGAAAGUGUUUUCUGCAGAGGGAGGUGAUUUCAUCACAACUUCUGUGUGCAGAGAGGGUGAGGCAGAGCAGCACAGAGAGCAGAAAUCCUUGUUGUCUCUGGGGGUUGCAGGUGGGCCAGAUGCCCUUUGCAGCAUAACAUGCCCCUUUCCAUGUGUCAAGACGAGAGGUGCAGACUGUUCCUUAGCCUGUAGCCUCUGAUGAAUGCAUUCUGGUAUUUAAUGAGGUUUAUAUUUCUGGUGUUAACUGAAGGCUUUCAGCCUUCUGUCCUGCAGGAAGUGUUCUGAGGUGGCUUUGUGACAGUGCCCCGUUCAGUAAUCCCAGCUAUAUUAAUAUGGAAGCAGCAGGUAACCACACUGCUUGAUAAAAGUACAUAAAGUGGUGAUGGUAAAGAGAGCACAGCGUCUGGUUGUGUGGUUCUGGGCUGUCUCUUGCCAGGACUCCACCAGCUCCUUGUAGGAAUCUGGAGCCCCUGCCUGGAGGGAGGCUGGGCUAGCUCUACCUGCAGCCAGGUGCCCACCUUUGAAGGCUCUAGUGGGCUCAGAGGUCUUCAUCGCUGGCCUGAGGUGUGUCAGCUGUGUGAGAGUUGGCUUAAUAAGCUGUCAGUACUUAGUAAGAUCUUGGGAAGGUUUUGGAAGCCCUUCGGAACAGCCAGAUCCUCUCCAUCCAGGGGUCUCCUGGCUCUGUGCCUGCAUCUUGGUGUGACUUGAAGCAGAUUGUGUGGCAGAGCAGGAGUCAGCUGUAGGCAGUGUUUGUGGUGGUGGCAGAGGUCAGGCUGUGCAGUGAUGAACUCCAUGGCAGGACCAACAGCAGAAGACAGCAGUCAGCCUUCCCCAGGAGUCUGUGCAGUAGCUGGAGAUGGUCCAGGCUGCACUAGCUGGGCUUACUGGCCAGAAAAUGGGUGAGAAAUGAGAUCCUUGCGCUGCCUUGAGCUAAAGCUGACUGAGUAAUGUCCCCUGUCCACCACGAGCCUCCCCUGGGCUUUUGCUGUUUCCCUACCUUUGUGCAUGGGGAAGAACAGCAGGAGCCAGGCAGCUGCACAAGCACGCUGCCUGGGCACAGAGAGCCUGCCAUGCCUCUGCCCUGUGCUCCUCCUGGAGCUCCAGCCCUGUCCUUUGCAGGGAGCUUGUCCCCGUCCUCACCACAGGGUUUGUAGCUGUGUUCUGUCCUGAUGCUUUGGGCAGGCCCUGAGCCCCUGCAGUAGAGGGGAUGCAUAAAUGUGAGGGCUGGAAGGUGGUGAGCACAGACAUCCCCACUUCCACCUUGUGAUGCACAUAAGAGAGAAGAGGCUCCUGCCUUUGAGCUUCCCUUCUGCCUUAAAACGACCUUGGUCAUGGGAAGGGAGCUGCAUAUUCCUCAGAGACCUGUUCUUCCCCAGACACACAUCCUGACAUCCACAGGCCAGGCCUCAGCAGAGAGCAGGCUGCCUUGCAGUGGCCACCAGGUGGUGCUUGCAGUCUGGAUGCAGCCCUUUUCCUAAUGCUUCCUUCCAUGAAUUCCUAAAGCUUCCUUCUGUGAUUUCCUGGCUUCCCCAGCACAUUUCAGCCUCUGUGGGCAGGUGAUGUUUGCUCUGAUAUCUAGGAACUUGUAAUAUCAGAUCCAGAGCACACAAACGUGCUGCAAGGCUGUGGCACAUCAUCUCAACUGUUUUGUUCCACAUGCACAGGCAGGGAUAGGGACAGGGAAGGGAAAGGGAAGCUUCUGGGGGCAGCAGGCAGCUUGUUGUGCUACUUGUGCCUUGCUGGGGCUGUGUGUAGGGUCAUGUUUAGUCUCUUAAAUGGCUGCAGCAUCAGUUGGAGACAGUUUCCCACUCCGUGUCUGCCCGGUAACACAAAAAGCAUUACACAUCCUAUCCACGUUCUGCCUUUUGGCAUCGAUGCAAGAGGAUGUUUAGCUUCCAGGUUACUCUGGUAUUCUGGAGUUCACAGUGAUAGGAAGGACCUGGAAAUUCCCAGGCAGAAAUGACAUCUGCCUGUGUUUCUGGAAGCAUCUGUGCUUUCUCAUCUUCCCUCUGCUGCCCAGUGCCUCAUCCCUUACCCAGCCUGGCUGUAGGCAGGUCUGUAAGCAGUUAUUAAAUCCUGCAUGGCUGGCUGUGUAUGGGGUUAACGGCCCGUGCAGCAUGGGCAUCUCUGGAAUGCUGAUCUCGGGGUCCCACAUGCUGAAGGAGCACAAAAUUUAACAGCCUUCAUGAGCUCCCAUUGCUCUGGGUGCCUGUUAAGGACCCUAUUAGCUUCUGAGCACAGCUUAAAUUAAUUGGGCCCAGUUAGCCCCAGGCCCUGCACCAUUUCUGCUCUGCUGAGCAACUGGGAGCUGGGGGUAGUAUGGGAAAUUAAUGAGGUGGCUUGUGUCCCCCACGCUGGGAGCCAUGCCAGGCCCCAAAAUACAGCACAACAGGGUUUGUCAGCCUUGCUGUUGCUCUCAGCCCUUGGGCUCUUAAGCAGGAGCUGUGGUACAAGCUGGGAGAAGGUCUGUGCAUCCUCCUGAAGGGAAAAUCCUUGUUGCUUUAGGUCUGUACCCUGUCAUUUAUUCUCAUAAUUAAUGGGACUGCCUCACUGGGACCCUUGCCCUUUCUUCAGCUGUGCUGGGAUGGGUCAUUUGCAUCUCUGCUCUGCCUUAGUUUUCCUUCCUCCUAAUUAAGCAGAGCAAGCACAACUAGCUAGGCUAGCCAAAUAGAGAGAAAG